UGGGGAAUUUUGGACAAUGGGGGAAACCCUGAUCCAGCCAUCCCGCGUGUGCGAUGAAGGCCUUCGGGUUGUAAAGCACUUUUGGCAGGAAAGAAACGUCAUGGGUUAAUACCCCGUGAAACUGACGGUACCUGCAGAAUAAGCACCGGCUAACUACGUGCCAGCAGCCGCGGUAAUACGUAGGGUGCAAGCGUUAAUCGGAAUUACUGGGCGUAAAGCGUGCGCAGGCGGUUCGGAAAGAAAGAUGUGAAAUCCCAGAGCUCAACUUUGGAACUGCAUUUUUAACUACCGGGCUAGAGUGUGUCAGAGGGAGGUGGAAUUCCGCGUGUAGCAGUGAAAUGCGUAAAUAUGCGGAGGAACACCGAUGGCGAAGGCAGCCUCCUGGGAUAACACUGACGCUCAUGCACGAAAGCGUGGGGAGCAAACAGG
rnacentral:rRNA from 1 species